rnacentral:rRNA from 1 species
GGACGAGUGACGCUGACGAGUAGGCAGGCGUGGAGGUUGUAUCGAAGCCUAGGCACGUGAUGCUGGUGGUAACAGGCCUCUAGUGCAGAGUCUUAGGUGUAGUUAGCAAAGAUUUCGAAGUCGAGAACCUUUGAAGACUGAAGUGGAGAAAGGUUCCAUGGUAACAGCAGUUGGACAUGGGUGAGCCCGAUCCUAAGAGAUAGGGUAGUUCCGUAUGAAAGUGCGCGAUUCUUCGCGCCGCCGUAUCGAAAGGGAAGCCGGUUAAAAUUCCGGCGCCAGGAUGUGGAUGAUAGACGGCAACCGUAAACGAACCAGGAGACGUCGGCGAGGGCCCUGGAAAGAGUUAUCCUUUUCGUUUCGUUACAGUCUGUCACCCUGAAAUCGAUUUGUUCGGAGAUAGGGUUCCAUGGCUGGUAGAGCUCGGCACUUCUGCCGAGUCCGGUGCGUCCUCGACGGCCCCUUGAAAAUCCUGGGGAGCAAACAUUUCACGCCUGGUCGUACUGAUAACCGCAGCAGGUCUCCUAGGUUAAUAGCCUCUAGUUGAUAG